CGCUGCCAAACAGUCUAGUCUCUCCCCCAAAGAAUCUGGAUUCCCAGAUUCUCGCCCGGAACUGGGGUUUCAGUGCAGU